GGUAAUAUCUACACACUAUGAAUUGGAAAUGUCAAGAAGGUUGGCUGAUGAACUUGUUGUGCUCAUUUUAAUUAUUUAAACUGAACUGAAAUAAAAGUUUUCUUUGUCCUUAAUUCUGUUCACCACAAUACACCAAAUGUCCCCUUUUCUAUGGCUUAUGAGUUUGCAUGUAGGGGUAAACCUAAUUUUUUUUAACAUUCGUAAUGUUUGUGAUUGCAGAUGACACACAUUGAGGACCAUGAGCCGUUUGAACCAGCACCUGAGGUCACUGCGAGCAGUCAGCAGAGCCCGCCUGAGGACAAUGGCCAGCUUGAAGAUCCUCAUGUAACACUUGGCAAUCAGAAGGUACUUAUUUUUAACAUGUUAUUCCCUGUUCCUUGUGAGUUUUCCUGCCAUUUAUUUGAUCUUGGAAAUUAGUUAAAGUAAUGUUAAUAUCAUGUACAAUUCCAUUUUUCCAUUAUACACAGCCAUGAACUACAGCUGAUUGAUUCCUAGCCUUUUUUAUGAAUUCCUUGUUAAUUUCGAUAUAAACUAUUGGUUACACUCCUUUUUGAUUGAACUACUGUUGUGUUUUUAGGCACCCUGUGAUUUUGCACCUGCCAGAGCUGCUACAUCAAGUCAUGUGACUUAUGACAACCCUGGGUGUCUUCAAGGAUCGUAUGACCAGAGCAGCCACAUAUUCGGGGAAAAUGCAGGUAAGCAGUGUGCUA
rnacentral:lncRNA from 1 species